UUUGUGUGAAGAAAUAUUCUACUAAAUGAUGGACACUUGUGUAAUGUUCUUGGUCUUAUGGGAUCUUAUUAACGUAACUUUUUACAAAUUCAAAAGCAAGAAUAAUCUUGCUUCAUUUUAUUCCUUUCUGAGGUAUUUAAAUGUUCUUUGGGGCAAUGUGAUUUUCCUACGUUGGUUGGAGAAAUUCAGAUUUAAAAAGAAAAAUCUCUCUUUAGCCCAGACUUACAUAUUGGCUGCUCAGACAUUGCAUCUAUUUAAUUUGUUGGUAACUGGGAAGGGAAAGAAAAAAAUCUCAGUUCAGGUUUUAAUAGAGCUGCUUUAGUGCUGUGGUAAAUGACUUACCAUUCUCAUUUGUCCAAAUUCACUCAGUCCUGGGCCAGAGUAAAUGUUCCUGUGUUGUCAAUACAACAGUAGUAUUGUAUACAUUUGUAAUACAGAUUCUCUUCUCUGUUAUCAGUCCGCCUUUCUGAUUUUCCUUUUAUUGGCAAAAUUUUGUGUUUUAACAAGCAGAAGUUUUGAGGCAGGCCUGGCUGCUUUGUUCCUAUGGAAACAGAAGACUGUCUUCAAACAAACUGAGUUGCUGUGGCAACAUAGGUGCAUACAGAGGUGUGCUGAGGCAGUGUGGGGUCAUCCUCUUGCACUGUGGAAGCCAGUGCCGGAUGCCCCAGGAGGGAGAAAAGGAAACCCUUCUGCUGUGAAGAUAUCUUGGGGCACCUUAGGAGAGAAUACAGCUGGGACAUGACACAGGUGGUCUGCUCAUCACCUAGGAUGACACUUGUUUUAGCUGCUCCUCGCUGGGGUUAUCAAGUCAACAGAAAAAUGUUGCUCUGUGUGAAACAGGACACUGACAAGCCUAGAGUAUGUCUCAGAGAAACACUGUUGACUCUGUAUGUUUGUGCUGGCACUGAAUGUACUUCCCAGCCUGUCUGGCAGAUAGCCUGAUGCAACAAGGAUUGCUGCAGUGCACUUAGCUAAGAGCAUUUUGGAACAUCCACACAACCACCUGCAUAAACCCCAGGAGGAAAAGGUGUAGGACGUUCUUUUCAGCUGUGGUGCAGGAGGCGAGAUUCCAAGUGUCUUUACUCUGCAGUGCAGUCACAGCUCCCAGAAAGCUGUCUUAUGUUUAUUCCCACUACUCUGCAUGACUGACUGUGCUACAGUCCUUUCUCUCAUGAUCCGCCUGUCUGAGCAUAUUCCCAUCUAUCCCCCAGGGAGAGAAUGUAGCACACUCAAGCCUGCUUGAACUAUGAUUUCAGCUGCAACAGGCAGAGCAAGGACUGAACAGGGAACUGGGCGAAAUAAAGUCAAUCUAAACUUGUGGGUUAAUACCUGCAAGACAUGCCAAUAUUGAUGUGCCGGACAGCCCCUUACACCAAAGUGCAGAAUGUGGAUCUGUGAAAGAAUUACAGAGAGCUGCAGAAAAAGCUGCACUCAGAAACCCGGUGAUACUUUCAGUGGAAAGAUUUCCUUCCUUCAGCUUCAGAACAGGCAGCUUCAGGGACACCUGAAUAUCAGUGGCAGGUUCUGCGAGCACUGAUGGAAAGAUUUUAUGCUGUGACCAAUGCGCCAAAGAAGAGAGUUGUUGUGUUAAGAAGUUAAGAAGAGGUCUGGAUGAGAUAACAUAGGCUAGAUAGCUUGCCACAGCUGGGCAAAUGACUAUGAAGGCAGCCACAGGACUAAUCUGGCACGACGUGAAAGCACAGGCUGUAAGUAUUGUGGGCAACUUAUUUUUACUUUUCAGAAUUUAAAAUUGACUGAGAGGUAACUGCAAGUGUUGGAGGUGAGAGAGCUGUUCAAGGGUUCAGUUACGGAUGUUUGAUGUCUGUCAAGAAGGGCCGUAUGCUUCAACCACUGACACUAAAAAGAGACGUUGGUUUCUUCCAAGCUUAAGCCUCACUUUGUUUUUAAGGGAAUUAGGGCAAAUCAAACAGCUGUAAAUAAUUCAUAAAAUUGGAUUGCAAAUUUGGUGCUUAAAUAUAACUACAAAUUACAUGUAAUAUCUGCAUUGUGUUCAUGCAAGAAAAUUAAUCAUAUCAAGAUGCCAAUAAUCAUUUAGACAAGGUCAGAGCUGGUUCAUAUUUUAAACAUCUACGAGUGGUAAACUGGGCAUGACCUUACCUGAUGAUCAUUUUAGUUAUCAAAAGCUAGUUCAGAACAUUCAGGUUGUAGAGAGAACACAGAAUGAAGGCCACGCUAAGUCAAAAGGAAUGAAUGUUAUAGGUUUGUAAUUCCGAAUAAAUUGUGGAGCUUGAGGUACUUUCAGAGAAAAAUGGAAACAAUUUUUUGUUGACCUUGAAGCCUUGAAUUUGCUGCUACGCUUGGCCAUCAGCAACGCUGGAAAGGUCACUGAGGCAGCCUUUUCACAGGUCUGCAACUCUGAAAAGUUUCUUUGAAUGCAGUACAGGAAAAAAAAACCAAAAGGUAAAUAUGUUCAAGUUUGCUUCUUUAUAACUUUUUUUACAAACAUAGAAAUGCAUCCAAAUGCCUUUAUUCUUGUAACAUAAUACUACUUGGAAGAGAUCCUGGCAAGUCCCACUGUUGCCUUUCAUUUAAAUCACCUGAGAUAUGUAAGAACUGCAAGGCUCUUUUCCAAGACUGUUUUUGUUUGUUAGUUUCCUUUUGUUUUGUUUUGUUUUUUGAAGUGGUGGUAUCAAGUCUGAUUAAGUUCCAGUGUUUUUAUUUGUUUGCUUGCUUUUUAGAUGGCUGCUAAAAUUCAGGCAGCUACUGACUACAUGAAUCUAAAAAUCUGGUUGACAAUCUAUCUGCACUUUGUGCUUUAAUUGUAAGCACAGUCUUUAGCUGUAUGCACUAAACUCUGGACUGAUGCCAUGGUUGCAAAGCCAGAAGGGAGCAGAUGCUGCAGAUGAAGCUCCAUCCUCAUUCUGGUCAGCCACAAUCUGAAUGCAUGCAGCUCUCCACAUUCUCUCAGCAGAAUUCCUUUGCCUUUUAGAAAAUCCCACUGAUUUAUCUUUACUCAAGAGUUUGUGCCUCUGGAGUUCCACAUCUCAUCCAGAAAGAGCACAUUUGUUUUGUUGCUGUUACAGAAAAAUACGGAAUUCUGUAUUUUCACCAAUAGUAAGUGAAACUGACAUUGAGAACAUGAGAAAAUACUACAAAUCCGAUUCAUUAGUCUAGAUAUGCUUUCGUGUUGUUUGGCAUCUGCUGCAUUUGGCACCAAAGAUGCCUCUAAUCUUUCCUUGAAGAAGCAGAUCAAAGGAGAUGAGGUGGAAGUGCAGUAUUGGCUACAUGGAGCUUCCUUCUUGGAGAAGGAAUUGGAGUGCUGAGUUGUUUUUGAGCCUAAGAAACACAAACCAAAUCCUGAGUCAUGCUGCCUUUUAAAUGUCAAUGAAAUUAGUAGAAGGGAGGUUCCAUUGUGUUUAUUCAAUUCUGAUAGUGAUGCAUAAGCAUUGAUUCUAUGUUUCUUAGAUGAAGAUGGCAGCACUGUCCGAGAUCACAACUCUGCCUGGAGAGAACAUGUGAUGAAAACCUGUUUCACUGAUGUUCUUACUUGUAAAUGACCUGUAGUGAGUGCAAGAAGGCAAAGGGAUCUGAACCAUAGAGGCUGGUGCUAAAGAAGGAAGUUAACCAGGAAGUUCAAUGGCAGGAAGAUUGGAUGUUUCUCAUACAAGACCUUGAGCUACAUCUCAAGUCCUACACAUUUAGGAUCUUGUGAAUUGGCAGAGGAGCACAGAGCGUUGGGCUAAGUAUUUCCUGCAGACUCCUUUCUCAUCUGUGCUUGGAAGUGGCACAGCUUGCUCAAAAACAAUAGCCAUAGGUUAGGGCUGUAGAAAGCUGGGAUCUGUAUGUUUUAGCCCAAGCAGAGCAGAGUAGUUAAGUUUGUGCUUCAUUUCCUCAUUGGUUUCUUUGUGAUUUCAUCUCUUAGCCCUUGGGCUGGAGUAAAAAGCAGUGCAGCGGUGAUGAUAGUGGCCCCAUAUUACCGCUAUCAUGGGGACCUGCGGUACAGGAACAGCUUGAGUUGUUAACAUGUAGCUAACAGCUUCUGGUUUAAUUGCACUGCCUAGCCCACUGAGAUGAUGUAUCAAGCUUACUUAGCCUUGGACUCCUCAGUUCAAAAUGUUGCUGCUUUCUGUGCCUGUUUGUCUUCUGGGCUCUUCAUAGUUUGCAAGAGGCCAGCAGUUUGUUUAUUCUACGAAGUCUAUCAGGUGUUCAGAUUCCACAGCAGUAAGCAGAAUAGAAACAUGAAAAAUUAAUGUAGUUUUUGAUUGAAAACGUGCCUCGUUGCUUGCAUCUUCCUCAUUGGUAGUUUAUCUUGCUUCAGAUAUUAAUAAGUAGGUUGACCGGUCUGCAUAAAUUUACUGUUGUGCGUGCAGGUCAGAUUUGGAGGUGGUUGUUGCUGGUUACAUACAAGGCCAGUUCCAGAUGUACACAAAACCAGAUUUGCCUUGGUGGCCCCAGUGGCAGCUUAAACCACGAAGCCGUGCUUCAGACAUGGUGUGUGUCCAGUUUUUCCCUUAGAGAACCUUGGUGUCAGAGUGAAAGUGGCAUAUUGAAACGCUUCUAACACAGAAAAAUCUAGGAACUCUGGUGGUCGUCUGGUCUGAUCUCCUGCUCAAAGCAUGUUCAAUUAAAUCAGGUGCGAGAUGUCUGCCCUGAGGUUGAUUUCUAACAGAACCUCCCAGCAGGCCUUGUCUAACUCUGAUUACACCUGGGAAUAUGAGUACUACGAGUAUGGACCGGUGUCAUUUGAAGGCCUGAAGGCUCAUAAAUGUAAGUUCAGUUCAGAUGCAUUUUAUUUCAGCUGUGUUUCCCUAUCUUAAAGUUCCUGCUCUUCACUUAGAAGUGAUUAUUGUACUGAAAUCUGUUUAUUA